rnacentral:rRNA from 1 species
UGUCCCUACGGGAGGCAGCAGUGAGGAAUAUUGGUCAAUGGGCGGGAGCCUGAACCAGCCAAGUCGCGUGAGGGAAGACGGUCCUAUGGGUUGUAAACCUCUUUUGUCGGGGAGCAAGACCCGCCUCGUGCAGGCGGAGCGAGAGUACCCGAAGAAAAAGCAUCGGCUAACUCCGUGCCAGCAGCCGCGGUAAUACGGAGGAUGCGAGCGUUAUCCGGAUUUAUUGGGUUUAAAGGGUGCGCAGGCGGACCAUCAAGUCAGCGGUAAAAUCGUGGGGCCCAACCCCAUCCCGCCGUUGAAACUGG